AUUCCUGCAAGCACAUGUCUCAGGCGGGAGCUGGGCCACCACCGGCAUCCUGGAAGUUGUGCGCUGCCAGGAGCCCUUCUCAUCCUCCCAGGCAAGGUGAGGUCUAAGAAAGCUGAGGAAUGCGGCUGCAUCAUCUUCAACAAAUUCUUUGCUGUGCUGCAGGGACUUGACGGCAGCAGCUCUUAUUACACGAGUGAAGGCAG
ensembl:lncRNA